GGAAUCUUCCACAAUGGGCGCAAGCCUGAUGGAGCAACGCCGCGUGUGUGAUGAAGGCUUUCGGGUCGUAAAGCACUGUUGUAUGGGAAGAACAGCUAGAAUAGGAAAUGAUUUUAGUUUGACGGUACCAUACCAGAAAGGGACGGCUAAAUACGUGCCAA
rnacentral:rRNA from 1 species